rnacentral:rRNA from 1 species
UACGAAGGGGGCUAGCAUUGUUCGGAAUCACUGGGCGUAAAGAGCACGUAGGCGGAUCUUUCAGUCAGGGGUGAAAUCCCGAGGCUCAACCUCGGAACUGCCUUUGAUACUGGAGGUCUCGAGUCCGGGAGAGGUGAGUGGAACUGCGAGUGUAGAGGUGAAAUUCGUAGAUAUUCGCAAGAACACCAGUGGCGAAGGCGGCUCACUGGCCCGGUACUGACGCUGAGGUGCGAAAGCGUGGUGAGCAAACAGG